rnacentral:rRNA from 1 species
UGGGGAAUAUUGGACAAUGGGCGAAAGCCUGAUCCAGCCAUGCCGCGUGUGUGAAGAAGGUCUUCGGAUUGUAAAGCACUUUAAGUUGGGAGGAAGGGCAGUAAGCGAAUACCUUGCUGUUUUGACGUUACCGACAGAAUAAGCACCGGCUAACUCUGUGCCAGCAGCCGCGGUAAUACAGAGGGUGCAAGCGUUAAUCGGAAUUACUGGGCGUAAAGCGCGCAUAGGUGGUUCGUUAAGUUGAAUGUGAAAGCCCCGCGCUCAACCUGGGAACUGCAUCCAAAACUGGCGAGCUAGAGUAGGGCAGAGGGUGGUGGAAUUUCCUGUGUAGCGGUGAAAUGCGUAGAUAUAGGAAGGAACACCAGUGGCGAAGGCGAACACCUGCGCUCAUACUGACAAUGAGGUGUGAAAACGUGGGGAGUAAACAGG